UACGUAGGGGGCGAGCGUUGUCCGGAUUUAUUGGGCGUAAAGAGCUCGUAGGCGGUUUGGUAAGUCUGGUGUGAAAUCUCCACGCUCAACGUGGAGGGGCCACCCGAUACUGCCAUGACUGGAGUCCGGUAGAGGAGUGUGGAAUUCCCGGUGUAGCGGUGAAAUGCGCAGAUAUCGGGAGGAACACCCGUAGCGAAGGCGGCACUCUGGGCCGGUACUGACGCUGAGGAGCGAAAGCGUGGGGAGCAAACAGG
rnacentral:rRNA from 1 species